GGAAACUAUUCAGUCUUCAACAGCAAAAAAGGCGAGACGAAAAAGAUACCGAGAGAAAAAGAAGAUUAUCCAUAGGCGUGGUACUGAAGCAUGGGAAGAAAUAUGUGUGCAAAAAAUGAAACCACGUUGGCAAGAUACAACAAAGAAAAUUGACUGUAUGAGGAAGGAAGAACGAGAAGAAAGAGCAAUACAGAAAAGAGAAAAGAGAAAAAACUUAAGAAAUAUACAACGAAAUCUGGAAAAGGCGAGAGCAGAAACUGAAUUUUCCAGCGAUUUUUCUGCCACAAAAAAAAUUCAACUUUCAACCAUUUAAAAUUUUACAUUUCCUAAUAUGGAAACAUGACUUUUCAAGCAGUUAUUUCAUAUUGUUAUUUCAUAUUGUUAUGAAAUGUGAGAUAUCCUGUGACUGAAAUCUGCAUUUCCUAUGGAGGAAAUCUCACUGGUUCUAUACCACACCAAUCCUCCACCAAUAACGGAUGGGAAAUUUCAUUUUUUAACCAGUUCGAAUUGGCAUUCGAACUGGGUCAAAGUAUGGGAGAUCUAAGAGAACUGUAAACCUACAAACCUACAACUUAAUUUCAACUCCAAUUCUGAUCUUCUUGUACGGGUGUUACAGUUCAUCACCUCAUCACGGUGUUUUUGAUUAGUUCUUUUUGGCCAAGACGCCCUAUCAAAAUUCCGGUGUGAUGUAGUUGAUGAAAAGUUUUGCAGACAACGAGUACAGAGUACAACCAAGAUUUACUGAAUGCCCUAAGAAUCCACAAACUUUUCGCCCGGCUGGUAUGUCACAUGAAACUCCUAAAUGAGCACAGUGGAAUGUACUUUUAAGGAAACCCCUUUCCACAAAUCUAGUGUAUUGAUUGUCAAAGAUGGCUCUUUUGGACCGGGAAUGACCCCAACAAGAAUGGUGUUCUUUAUCUUGAAACGAUUUCUGGAAGAUUGAGAACAGAUAUGUAAAGAACCCCAACAGAGUAUGUCACAUGUUCAAAUGGCUGGAACCAAAAAGUAGUCCAUAGCAAUUCGGCUCAGACAGAAAAGGCUUCUCUUUAUAAUUAGUAAAUUCUUUCCACAAUUUACCAUCAUAAACGUCGUGCGUACUUCAGAUCGUCUUUGAUUCCUUGUUGACUCACACUCUUGCAUAAAGUUUGAAUUCAAUAUGAGCGUCGAUAGAUACUAAGAGAGUGUCUGCAUUGUUUUCAAUAGAGGUGUAUCGCAUUUUUCUGACAUUGGAAAAGAUUUGAACGAGCACUUUUUCACAGACUGUCUAUCUACACAUGUGUUGUUGGAUUCUUCUUGCAACCAUACAGACUUGACUAUUACUAUUGUUGAGAUUGACUGCCAAUAAACAUUUUUAUAUUUCAUAUAGAUCUAGUAAAUUCACAAUAAGGGAAUAGUACCAGCAAACUAUACAAAGACAGCAACUCAAAAACCAACAACUAAAAAGGUAAUGGAUGGACAGAAUAAUUCUAGAAUGAUCCAGAAACAAGGAUGCAUGAUCAAUGUGAGAAUAAACAACCACCUGUGAAUUACACAAUAGCGUAAAUGUAUGGUAUGACACAUGAUAAAUAGUACAUCAGGAUAAAAACAGGAUAGAACAGGAUAAAUCAUAAACAAUCACGCCAGUACACAUGCCAACAUGUGUAGAGUGAAAAACACUGUCUGCAAGCAACGUUUUUGUCAAAAGAUUCGAAAUCGGGUAUAAAUGUCACCAUGUGUCUUUUGAACCUGUAAAUUCUGACAGAGCCUAUCUGUGACACGGAAUUUUGUCUGAAACACUGCAACAAGAACAAGAACAACAAUCCAGCUCAUAAGACGAUUUACUUGAGGGUCAUCAACAAUGAGAUCGCCAACCUCUUGAGGUGGGAUGACGGUAUCGUUUACACAAAGGUCUUCAUCCAGGUCGUCAUCAUUCUCAAUCCAAUGUUCUAUUGGAAAAAACAUAACAAUUAUUAUAGUUCUAGUCCUAGUCAGUAUAAUUAUACCUUUAUCAGAAUCCACAAUUUCUGUGCAUCGGUACGUGGGAAGUGGGUCAUGGUGUCAUAAAAUAAUAAAAUAAAUCAUCAGACUUCUUCAAUACUACUGAAAUCACUACUGUGGUCAUUAUCCAACUUCUUAGCAUCAGUGCAAUAGUACAAUCUUUCGUGUUCCUUGAAUUUCUUGUGACUUAGUUCCUUUCCACAGUGAGGACAGACUGUAUACCUGUGCAAUGCAACUCUCUUUCUUUCGAGUGAAGCCAUCGUAACAAAAGCUUGUGUAUGGUCAGUGAUAUCUAUAUAAUUAUAUAUAGAGUCUAUAUAUAAUUAUAUCUGUAGCUAGCUAGCUCAGAUCCAGAUCAUAUGCAGUGCAGGGCAUUAAUUUGAAAAAAGAGGAUCCACGCGCAUGCGUAAUACUUUCCAUGCUAGCUAUGUGCAAGGCAGCUAUAUCUCUGCACUCAAACUCUGCCGAUUCCGAAGAUCCUCUCCUUGAGGAAUCAGAUGUUAUCCCACUUGUUGAUGCUAUACCAUCUCAGAAGGAUACAGGUGGCUUUGUGCAUCGCAGAAGUUAUUCAGUGAAACCAAUGAAAAUCUGCCAUCCAAUAAGAAGCGACCCCACGUAACAGAAGAUUCUUGAAGAAAUAAUGAAAGCAAGCUUCUCAGGUAGAUUGGAUGCCGUCGUUGAGCGGAGAGAACUUGAUACCCCAGUGACCAGUACAGAUACAGGCAGCUCUGGUGAGAAAUUGAAAAGGAAGGUUCCCACAUGGGUUAGGGUGAUUAUAGUUGCUGUACAAUGAUGUUUUACAUGCAUGAGCUACGAGAAGUAUACAAGGCUCUGUUGGAUGAUGAAUCGAGAGAAUUCUCUGGAUUUGAUACAAAGUAAGAAGUUCCUUCUGUUAGUUAGUUACUCAUGAUUAUUAUGAUAGAAAACACUUCACUGACCCUGUGAAUCAAAAUAUUUUGCGAAAACUGGUGUCAGAAAUGAGGGCAAUUAAUUCACAUGUGGCUGCUAUAACAGUAAGAGGUGAGUUGAGAAGAUUUGAGAAGAUUUGGUCACAUCAUUUGUGUGUGUAUGUGCGUGCGUGUACUAUAUCCUUGGGGCACACACUACAUAUACCUUACCACUGACAUCAUGCAUGUAGAUGCUGCAAGACGUUUUUAUCAACUUAAAGGAUAAUGGAAAGUAUGAAAAGUAUGAGACUAAGCUCAUACAACAACGUCGGCAAAAUCGCAUUAAAAGAAAACGUGAUACUCGAAUGGCUGCCUUUUUGAAUACAAUUUCAAUUCCCAUGGAGCAAAAAGAGAGGCGUACUGGUGAAGGAGUUUAUGUCGAGUGAAGAGAGUGGAACUGAAAGUGUUGAGGGAGCUACUCUUUAUGUGAUGGUUGUAAAGCCUCUACCAUGCUCAAGUUAGACGAUAAGGCCAAGAGGAAAAAGUCAAAGCAGUUGAUGAAGCAGACGCUACCCAGAGUGAUUGGAGAAAAUUCAACUAGACCGAACCACCCCUUUUUGCUUGAUGAUUUCUGGGGGUUUGGUCUAUAGACAAUUGAACAAAACAUGCUGCUGGCAUUGUGUCAUUGUGAAUAACGAUUUGUCAUUGUGAUUCAUGUGUUGAUAUCAAAGUGGAUUAUUCUGUCAAAAUAAAUGAAUUGCUAUAAACAUGGAAUUUAGGGUCUACACAGGGAAACGAAGAGUUCUAUCUUUGGAGAUCUUGUUGCCAUUCAUUAUGAAAACUACAGCCAGUAAUUGCACUCGAAUUGAACUCGAUGGAUGGAGGGAUGGAUGGAGGGAUCGAAAAUCCGAGAUCCAAGGAAAACUGGUUGGAUUUCAGCACUGUUGAGCGGUUGACUAAGUUACAGUCAUGUAAAGAUCAGUGACACAUUUAAAGACUGCAUGUAGUAUGUGCAUGUUAAAAA